GGUCUUGUGUUGUAGCGGUAACAUGUCCUCAGUUAAUGGGUGGGAAUUUGUGUAUGAGGAAGUCCCUUGUUCGAGUCAAGGCGAGGUCA